rnacentral:rRNA from 1 species
CGGACGGGUGAGUAAUGUCUGGGAAACUGCCCGAUGGAGGGGGAUAACUACUGGAAACGGUAGCUAAUACCGCAUAACGUCGCAAGACCAAGAGGGGGACCUUCGGGCCUCUUGCCAUCGGAUGUGCCCAGAUGGGAUUAGCUAGUAGGUGGGGUAAUGGCUCACCUAGGCGACGAUCCCUAGCUGGUCUGAGAGGAUGACCAGCCACACUGGAACUGAGACACGGUCCAG